rnacentral:rRNA from 1 species
CCUACGGGUGGCAGCAGUCGAGAAUCAUUCACAAUGGGGGCAACCCUGAUGCUGCGACGCCGCGUGGGGGAAUGAAGGUCUUCGGUUUGUAAACCCCUGUCAUGUGGGAGCAAAUUAAAAAGAUAGUACCACAAGAGGAAGAGACGGCUAACUAUGUGCCAGCAGCCGCGGUAAUACAGAGGUCUCACGCGUUGUUCGGAAUCACUGGGCGUAAAGCGUGCGUAGGCUGUUGCGUAAGUCGUGUGUGAAAGGCGCGGGCUCAACCCGCGGACGGCACAUGAUACUGCGAGACUAGAGUAAUGGAGGGGGAACCGGAAUUCUCGGUGUAGCAGUGAAAUGCGUAGAUAUCGAGAGGAACACUCGUGGCGAAGGCGGGUCCCUGGACACUAACUGACGCGGAGGCACGAAGGCCAGGGGAGCGAAAGGGAUUAGAUACCCCAGUAGUC